ACUCAAAUGAAUAGACGGGGGCCCGCACAAGCAGCGGAGCAUGUGGUUUAAUUCGACGCAACGCGAAGAACCUUACCUGGGCUUGACAUGUUGCGGUAAGCCGUGGAAACACGGCCCUCCUUAGGGACCGCAUCACAGGUGGUGCAUGGCUGUCGUCAGCUCGUGUCGUGAGAUGUUGGGUUAAGUCCCGCAACGAGCGCAACCCCCGUCGUAUGUUGCCAGCAUUUAGUUGGGGACUCAUGCGAGACUGCCGGUGACAAACCGGAGGAAGGUGGGGAUGACGUCAAGUCAUCAUGCCCCUUAUGUCCAGGGCUACACACGUGCUACAUUGGCGCGUACAGAGGGUUGCGAUACCGCGAGGUGGAGCGAAUCCCUCAAAGCGCGUCUCGGUUCGGAUUGCAGGCUGAAACUCGCCUGCAUGAAGGCGGAGUUGCUAGUAAUCGCGGAUCAGCACUGCCGCGGUGAAUACGUUCCCGGGCCUUGCACACACCGCCCGU
rnacentral:rRNA from 1 species